AACGAACGCUGGCGGCAGGCUUAACACAUGCAAGUCGAGCGCCCCGCAAGGGGAGCGGCAGACGGGUGAGUAACGCGUGGGAACGUACCCUUAUCUUCGUGAUAGCUCCGGGAAACUGGAAUUAAUACCGAAUGUGCCCUUUUGUGGAAAGAUUUAUCGGAUAAGGAUCGGCCCGCGUUGGAUUAGCUAGUUGGUGGGGUAAAGGCCUACCAAUGCGACGAUCCAUAGCUGGUCUGAGAGGAAGAUCAGCCACAUUGGGACUGAGACACGGCCCAAACUCCGACGGGAGGGAGCAGAGGGGAAUAUUGGAAAAUGGGCGAAAGACUGAAAGAGCCAUGACGGGAGAGUGAUGAAGGCCUUAGGGUAGUAAAGCUCUUUAAAAGGAGAAGAUAAUGACGGUAACCGGAGAAGAGGCCACGGCUAACUUCGUG
rnacentral:rRNA from 1 species